rnacentral:rRNA from 1 species
AAUCAACGCUGGCGGCGUGCCUAACACAUGCAAGUCGAACGCGAAAGCCCCGCAAGGGGGUGAGUAGAGUGGCAAACGGGUGAGUAACACGUGGGUGACCUGCCUUCGAGCGGGGGAUAACGUCCCGAAAGGGACGCUAAUACCGCAUAACAUCCUGCCUUUUAAGAGGUGGAGAUCAAAGCCGGGGAUUCGCAAGAACCUGGCACUUGAAGAGGGGCCCGCGCCUGAUUAGCUAGUUGGGGGGUAAUGGCCUACCAAGGCAACGAUCAGUAUCCGGCCUGAGAGGACGGACGGACACACUGGGACUGAGACACGGCCCAGACUCCUACGGGAGGCAGCAGUGGGGAAUUGUUCGCAAUGGGCGCAAGCCUGACGACGCAACGCCGCGUGGAGGAUGAAGACCU